rnacentral:rRNA from 1 species
AGAGUUUGAUCAUGGCUCAGAACGUACGCUGGCGGCACGCCUAACACAUGCAAGUCGAACGAAGUAGCAAUACUUAGUGGCAGACGGGUGAGUAACAUGUGGGUAUCUGCCCUUUGGCCUGGAAUAACACGAGGAAACUUGUGCUAAUACCGGAUAAGUCUUUACGGAGAAAGCUUUAUGCACCAUUGGAUGAGCCCGCACUUGAUUAGUUUGUUGGUGGGGUAAUGGCCUACCAAGACUGUGAUCAAUAGCUGAUUUGAGAGGAUGAUCAGCCACAUUGGGACUGAGACACGGCCCAAACUCCUACGGGAGGCAGCAGUGGGGAAUCUUGCACAAUGGAGGAAACUCUGAUGCAGCGAUGCCGCGUGAGUGAAGAAGGCCCUUGGGUUGUAAAGCUCUUUCGUCGGGGAAGAAAAUGACUGUACCCGAAUAAGAAGGUCCGGCUAACUUCGUGCCAGCAGCCGCGGCAAUACGAAGGGACCUAGCGUAGUUCGGAAUUACUGGGCUUAAAGAGUUCGUAGGUGGUUGAAAAAGUUGGUGGUGAAAUCCCAGAGCUUAACUCUGGAACUGCCAUCAAAACUUUUCAGCUAGAGUUUGAUAGAGGAAAGCAGAAUUUCUAGUGUAGAGGUGAAAUUCGUAGAUAUUAGAAAGAAUACCAAUUGCGAAGGCAGCUUUCUGGAUCAUUACUGACACUGAGGAACGAAAGCAUGGGUAGCGAAGAGGAUUAGAUACCCUCGUAGUCCAUGCCGUAAACGAUGUGUGUUAGACGUUGGAAAUUUAUUUUCAGUGUCGCAGCGAAAGCGAUAAACACACCGCCUGGGGAGUACGACCGCAAGGUUAAAACUCAAAUGAAUUGACGGGGACCCGCACAAGUAGUGGAGCAUGUGGUUUAAUUCGAAGAUACGCACAGAACCUUACCAACACUUGACAUGUUCGUCGCGACUUUAAGAGAUUAAAGUUUUCGGUUCGGCCGGACGAAACACAGGUGCUGCAUGGCUGUCGUCAGCUCGUGUCGUGAGAUGUUGGGUUAAGUCCCGCAACGAGCGCAACCCUCACUUUUAGUUGCCAUCAUUUAGUUGGGCACUCUGAAAGAACUGCCAGUGAUAAGCUGGAGGAAGGUGGGGAUGACGUCAAGUCCUCAUGGCCCUUACGUGUUGGGCUACACACGUGCUACAAUGGUAUCUACAACAGGAAGCGAAACAGCGAUGUUAAGCAAAUCCUUAAAAGAUACCUCAGUUCGGAUUGCACUCUACAACUCGAGUGCAUGAAGCUGGAAUUACUAGUAAUCGUGGAUCAGCGUGCCACGGUGAAUGCGUUCCCNGGGUCUUGUACACACCG